rnacentral:rRNA from 1 species
GGCCUUUAGUUAAUGAUUUAAGGUCUGACCUGCCCAAUGAUUAUUUUGAAUGGCCGCAGUAUUUUGACUGUGCAAAGGUAGCAUAAUCAUUAGUUUUUUAAUUGAAAGCUGGAAUGAAUGGUUUGAUGAAAAAAUAACUGUCUCAAUAAAAUUUAUUUAGAAUUUUAAUUUUAAGUGAGAAAGCUUAAAUGUUUUAUGAAGACGAGAAGACCCUAUAGAGUUUAAUAAUAUCAUUGUUAAUUAUUUUAGGUUUUAUUUUUAAUAUUAAUAUAAAUAUUAUUUUGUUGGGGUGACGGAAAAAUUUAAGUAACUUUUUAUGUUUUAUAACAUUAAUUUAUGGAUUUUUGAUCCUGAUUUUUGGAUUAUAAGAUUAAAUUACCUUAGGGAUAACAGCGUAAUUUUUUUGGAGAGUUCUUAUCGAUAAAAAAGUUUGCGA